rnacentral:lncRNA from 1 species
AUGCCCCCCUCCCCCAGGACGUGUGGCCCCUGGGAACCCACCCACAGCCCCCUUGGCAUUUGCAGGGCACCCCCAUUACAAUGCUCCCCCCCCCAAUAUUCUCCCCUGGCAUGGGGCAUCUGUGGGCAAGGGACAUCCCGGGGACCCCCAAAUCCACUCCGUCCCCUCCCAGGCUGCUUGGGACCCCCGGGGACAUGGGGGCACUGCAGGGCACCAUCCAUCUGCACGCACCCCCUGAAGCCCACCCCCAGGGCACACAGACCCCCACCCACUCCAUGUUGUCCCCUAAACCCCCCCUGCACCCGCAGAGCCCCAGCAACACGCACCCCGCAACUUGUGCCCUCGGCAUCCCCAAAUCCCUCCGGCUGCUGCUGGGCACAGGAAGGUCCCGGAGCGGGACCCCAGCACCCUGCCCGUCGGUGGCAGAGGCUGGGGGGGGACAGGAGCCUGGAUCUUUGGGGUCCUUGGCCCAGGGAGGGCAGUGGGGACGUGGGGUGGAGGCUGCUCUUCGCCCCCAUGUGCCCGGGCUGGCGAGGGCGGCGGCGGGCAGGUAGCAGACACCAUGGAAAGGCCUGGGGAGACAGCGUCCAGCUGGGGAAACCGAGGCACGGGGAGCAUCUGGGGGGGCGUGGGGGGCAGNNNNNNNNNNNNNNNNNNNNNNNNNGGGGGGGGGGGGUGGGGGGUGCCGAGUGCCCCCCGUGUCCCCCCGCCGAGGGAGGGGAGCCGGGUGCCGGGUGCGUGGCGGGCAGGGGAGGGGGAGGCGGGCGUGGAGGGGAGGAGGGGGAAGCGCGGGGCUGCCAAAAUCAACUCUCGGCGGUACAAACACCCGGCCAGCUGCACGGUGUAGCCAGGGAAACACGGCACAGCUGGAGCACAACAGGCCCCUACCUCCCCACAAGGCUCCUCCUGGGCCUCCCCCCAAACCCGGUGAGCGGCUGGGGGGGGGGCUGCAGCCCCAGCCCCCUGCCCCUGCUGUCAGGGUGCCCCAUCCACAGCUCGCCCACGGCCUCCCCGUCCCCUUUCCCACCCCAGCUCAUCGCUCCCCUGUCUCCCGCUGUGCCGGGCACCUCUCCGGGGGGGGGCCGUGGGGGCACGGCCAUGCCCAGGAGCUGCCCCGUGGCAGGAGCUGGCCCUGGCACGAGGCCGCGAGGAGCAGCCGGGUUUCCCCGCUGGGACAUCCCGCUGGCACUCCAGGGGCUGGGACAUCGCCAGGGUUCCUGUGCAUCCCGCGGGCACGCCGUGCCCACAGCACCCUGCCACGCUCACCAGGCCCUUCUGCGAGCGGGGACCGUGCCUGGCAGCCUGGCACCCCCGUCCCCGUGCCCUCCCCGCUGUCCCCAGCGGUGCCACCGACCUGUCCCCGCUCCUCUCUCCCGGCGUCCCUGCUGGCCCGGGAUCCGGCGGCAGGGGAGGGCUGGGGGCUGCGCGGCCGUGCCAGCGUCACCGCCCGGUGCCCGCGGUGGCGGCCCAGGGGGACGGCGGGGAGCGAGCGGGGCCGAGCGGGGAGGAGGCGGGCGAUGGCUCCCGGCCUCCCCGCCGGUGCCAGGAAUCCGGCGCUGGCUCUGCGCACCCAGAGCUCGUCACAAUCUCCUGGCUCGGCCGCGGGGAUGUGGGGAAGCGGCAGGGGAAGCUCCCUCCCCUUUCCCGGGAAGGAAGGAAAGCCGGGGAAGCUGCGGCCUUGGCAUGGGGGAAACUGAGGCAGCUCCUCCCGUUGCGCCCGGGCAUCGCUCAUCCCCAGCCCUGCGUGCCCUUAGGAAUGCCAGGGGUGCCCCAGCCCAAGGGACGGUGGCUGCCCUGGGGGUGUCUGAGCUUGUGGGAUGGGGGCAGCACUGGAAAAUGGUCCCGGUGCCCCCAGCUGGCUCCCAGUGCCCCUCAUGUGCUGGGAGCGCUGCACAAAGGCGGCUCUGA